rnacentral:snoRNA from 1 species
UGGUCCAUUCUAAUUCCUGCUGGUCAGGCUAUGACCUGCCAGGUUUCGCUUGUGGACCACAGCACUCUAGAAGCUUGACCCGAAGGAAUGAGCAAGGCCUCUUGUGGGCUCAUGCUAGAGGCGCUUCUGGACACUU